AUUGAACGCUGGCGGCAGGCCUAACACAUGCAAGUCGAACGAGUGGCGGACGGGGGAGUAAUGUAUGGGAAACUGCCCGAUGGAGGGGGAUAACUACUGGAAACGGUGGCUAAUACCGCAUACAAUCGGAUGAGCCAAUAUGGGAUUAGCUAGUAGGUGGGGUAACGGCUCACCAAGGCGACGAUCCCUAGCUGGUCUGAGAGGAUGACCAGCCACACUGGACAUGAGACACGGCCCAGACUCCUACGGGAGGCAGCAGUGGGGAAUAUUGCACAAUGGGCGCAAGCCUGAUGCAGCCAUGCCGCGUGUAUGAAGAAGGCCUUCGGGUUGUAAAGUACUUUCAGCGGGGAGGCGUUACCCGCAGAAGAAGCACCGGCUAACUCCGUGCCAGCAGCCGCGGUAAUUC
rnacentral:rRNA from 1 species